CUCCUCUCCAUGGCUGGGAUCUUCCAUGUUCUCUUCCUGGCUUGUAUGAUCUUGAAUCUCAAAAGGAAGAGUAGUCAGGGUAUCUUUUGUACCUAAAGGAUCCUCUAGGUUUACGAUCUUGUGGUAGAAAUGCUCUCUUGAUACAAUCAUCCAAGUUUUUCCCAAAUAACAUGUCUCCGUGGAAUGGUAAGGCACACAAACUGGCUUUGGAAGAAUUGUCCGCUGCCCAUGAUCUUAACCAUAAGGUCCUUCUGGCUGAAAUGGAGAGAGCCAUAUUUCUGGCUAAAG